AGAGUUUGAUCCUGGCUCAGAAUGAACGCUGGCGGCGUGCUUAACACAUGCAAGUCGUGCGCGAAGGUGGCUUCGGCCAUCGGAGAGCGGCGAACGGGUGAGUAACACGUGGGUGUCUGCCUGGGAGCGGGGGAUAACCUGGGGAACUCGGGCUAAUACCGCAUACGUUGGUGGGGCUGCGGCUCCAUCAAGAAAGCUGG
rnacentral:rRNA from 1 species